AGAGUUUGAUUAUGGCUCAGAUUGAACGCUGGCGGCAGGCCUAACACAUGCAAGUCGAGCGGUAGAGAGAAGCUUGCUUCUCUUGAGAGCGGCGGACGGGUGAGUAAUGCCUAGGAAUCUGCCUGGUAGUGGGGGAUAACGUUCGGAAACGGACGCUAAUACCGCAUACGUCCUACGGGAGGCAGCAGUGGGGAAUAUUGGACAAUGGGCGAAAGCCUGAUCCAGCCAUGCCGCGUGUGUGAAGAAGGUCUUCGGAUUGUAAAGCACUUUAAGUUGGGAGGAAGGGCAGUUACCUAAUACGUGAUUGUUUUGACGUUACCGACAGAAUAAGCACCGGCUAACUCUGUGCCAGCAGCCGCGGUAAU
rnacentral:rRNA from 1 species